rnacentral:lncRNA from 1 species
CAAUAGUGACAUAAAAAUAAAUGGUUCUUUCAUGCAUUUCUAAAGUGACAUAUUAUAUACAACUAGCAUCACAGGCCACAUGCUGUAAGAGAUACUCAGGUUGCCAAAGAGAUUAAAUCCAUCUGUUGCUAGACCAAGCUGGAUAUUGCGUGGGUCACUCGUAAAGUAUGGAUACUUUGCAUCGAAAUUUUUUCACACUAAAAAGUCGAUCGGGUGGCUAAGUAUGUUCUCCUCUGGAACCUAUUGCUCAUAAUGCCAUCUCAUUUCUUCAGCUGUCUUUGUAGAUAUAUACAACCUUUGAAGUCUUAGA